UACGUAGGGAGCAAGCGUUGUCCGGAAUCAUUGGGCGUAAAGCGCGCGUAGGUGGCUUCGUAAGUCCGUUGUGAAAGUCAAAGGCUCAACCUUUGAAAGCCGAUGGAUACUGCGGAGCUAGAGUACGGAAGAGGCGAGUGGAAUUCCUGGUGUAGCGGUGGAAUGCGCAGAUAUCAGGAGGAACACCAAUAGCGAAGGCAGCUCGCUGGGACGUUACUGACACUGAGGCGCGAAAGCGUGGGGAGCGAACGG
rnacentral:rRNA from 1 species